rnacentral:rRNA from 1 species
UACGUAGGGUGCAAGCGUUAAUCGGAAUUACUGGGCGUAAAGCGUGCGCAGGCGGUUGUGCAAGACCGAUGUGAAAUCCCCGGGCUUAACCUGGGAAUGGCAUUGGUGACUGCACGGCUAGAGUGUGUCAGAGGGGGGUAGAAUUCCACGUGUAGCAGUGAAAUGCGUAGAGAUGUGGAGGAAUACCGAUGGCGAAGGCAGCCCCCUGGGAUAACACUGACGCUCAUGGCACGAAAGCUAGGGGAGCGAACAGG